CAGUCCAUGGCUUGCUGGUGCCCUUCAUUCCACCGGAAUCUGUAGAGGCAGAAACCAGAUUUCAGUGUAAUGAAGCCCAUCAGACAUGGA
ensembl:miRNA